rnacentral:rRNA from 1 species
GACGAACGCUGGCGGCGUGCCUAAUACAUGCAAGUAGAACGCUGAAGGAGGAGCUUGCUCUUCUGGAUGAGUUGCGAACGGGUGAGUAACGCGUAGGUAACCUGCCUUGUAGCGGGGGAUAACUAUUGGAAACGAUAGCUAAUACCGCAUAACAGUAGAUGUUGCAUGACAUUUGCUUAAAAGUUGCAAUUGCAUCACUACCAGAUGGACCUGCGUUGUAUUAGCUAGUUGGUGGGGUAACGGCUCACCAAGGCGACGAUACAUAGCCGACCUGAGAGGGUGAUCGGCCACACUGGGACUGAGACACGGCCCAGACUCCUCCGGGAGGCAGCAGUAGGGAAUCUUCGGAAAUGGACGGAAGUCUGAACGAGCAACGCCGCGUGAGUGAAGAAGGUUUUCGGAUCGUAAAGCUCUGUUGUAAGAGAAGAACGAGUGUGAGAGUGGAAAGUUCACACUGUGACGGUAUCUUACCAGAAAGGGACGGCUAACUACGUG